rnacentral:lncRNA from 1 species
GGAUGCAGUCAUGUCAGGUUUAGGAUUUUUUGUCAGAUAAUUAUUGUUCGAACUCCUAUUGUUUCUUCCUUUGAUACUGUGUAAAAUGCUUUUGCACUAUAUCACCCACUUCCCUUUUCAUUUAUAUGCACUUCAAAAACUCAUAAAAGUUCAUUUACCAAAGUCUACACAGAUUAGAGAUUUCUUUUCUUCAGAUUUAAGACCCAAAGAAUGCCAAUGCUAAUUAUUCUGAAGGUAAAAGUCUGAAUCAGCCAUUUCCAACCAUGUUUUAAGUAUUAGAUAUCAAAUAUCUGGAAAAUGAGUUCCAUUAUAUAAACCUAUCAGUAUUUUUAGCUUAUUGUGUUCCUUUACUUAUUCUCCUCUCUGCUGUAUAGUAUCAGUUAUAAAUUUUAGAUUUUUAAAUUUCACCUGACUACAUCCUUAUAUGAAUUGCUUAAUUUGUUUGUAUCAAAAAGGAAAUGUAAGGAUAUGCCUCACACACAAAUGUGCAAACUAAGCACUAGUUUUCUUGGUUUUUUUUGUAACAACCAGACUGCAUGAAUAUGUGCGCUGGUAUCCAACAAAUAAGAAUUAUAAUGAAUAAACAAAACUGUCAUUAAUUUUCUUAUGAUACCCCACCCAUUAUUGGGAUCUGUAUCUUCCUAAUUUCAUUGAAAGAUGAUUUAAUUUCUUUUAUUUUAAUAAAAACAUUGUGGAAGCAGAUUGUGUCAUUUAGGUAUUUUGAAUAAUGGUGCCAAAGUUUCCCUCAGUUCAAGAAAUAGCAAGAAAAAAGUUUCUGUUUACAUAUUAUUUAAAAUAUAUAUGGUUAUUUUUAUUUGAAUAAUUAUAGAUUUUUUUGAAUACUGUCCAAGCAUAAGUUUAAACACAGGUUUCCAACUUUUUUCCACGAGUUCACUCUUUUUAGUUGGUUUUUCCUGACCGGUGUGAUUGUCAAUGAUAGCGAUUUUGCCAUUUUUUUCUCUCUCUAACAAUGUACAAGAAU